UACGGAGGGUGCAAGCGUUGCUCGGAAUUAUUGGGCGUAAAGGGUAGGUAGGUGGUCUCGUUUGUCAGGGGUGAAAGCCUUGGGCUUAACUCAAGAAGUGCCCCUGAAACGGCGAGACUCGAGUGCUGGAGAGGGUCGUGGAAUUCCCGGUGUAGCGGUGAAAUGCGUAGAGAUCGGGAGGAACACCAGAGGCGAAGGCGGCGACCUGGACAGCUACUGACACUCAACUACGAAAGCGUGGGGAGCAAACAGGG
rnacentral:rRNA from 1 species